rnacentral:rRNA from 1 species
GAUAAACGCUGGCGGCGUGCAUGAGACAUGCAAGUCGAACGAAGGAUCGGGCUUGCUCGAUCCUUAGUGGCGGACGGCUGAGUAACGCGUAGGUGACCUACCCCGAAGUGGGGAAUAACUGCCCGAAAGGGUGGCUAAUACCGCAUGUGGUCGCACGUUCAUUCGUGCGAGUAAAGCCGCAAGGCGCUUUGGGAGGGGCCUGCGUCCGAUUAGCUCGUUGGUGGGGUAAUGGCUUACCAAGGCGACGAUCGGUAGGUGGUCUGAGAGGACGAUCACCCAGACUGGGACUGAGACACGGCCCAGACUCCUACGGGAGGCAGCAGUCGGGAAUUUUGCACAAUGGGGGAAACCCUGAAGCAGCAACGCCGCGUGAGGGAUGAAGGCCUUCGGGUUGUAAACCUCUUUUGUCAGGGACGAUGAUGACGGUACCUGGCGAAUAAGCCACGGCUAACUACGUG